rnacentral:tRNA from 1 species
UGGUUAGAAACGAUAUACUCGUAUUAGGUUUCGGCCCUGCUUUAGGUGGCAAUAAUCACCCUAACCAU